rnacentral:rRNA from 1 species
UACGUAGGGGGCUAGCGUUGUCCGGAAUCAUUGGGCGUAAAGCGCGCGUAGGCGGCCCGGUAAGUCCGCUGUGAAAGUCAAAGGCUCAACCUUUGAAUGUCAGCGGAUACUGCCAGGCUAGAGUCCGGAAGAGGCGAGUGGAACUCCUGGUGUAGCGGUGGAAUGCGCAGAUAUCAGGAGGAACACCGAUGGCGAAGGCAGCUCGCUGGGACGUUACUGACGCUGAGACGCGAAAGCGUGGGGAGCAAACAGG